rnacentral:lncRNA from 1 species
UGCGCAGGCGCAGAAGACAUGGCGGGCGAGGUUGGGAGUAGUGGCUGCGGCGGCGGCGAAAGGAUCUCUGGUCUGCAGUUGGAGGGGCUGGGCCUGAGGAGUGCGUGAUGCUGCUGAGCUAGAAAGCUUGUGACUUCCCUGUCUCUGCGCUGGUCACAUGGAAGUGUUCAUGCUAUGGAAAGUGGAAUUAGUAGAAAAGAUCUCCGGUCUGUGGUUGGAGGAGCUGGGCCUGCGGAGUGCACGAUGCUGCGGAGCUAGAAAGCUUGUGACUUCCCUGUCUCUGCGUAGUCACAUGGAAGCGCUCAUGCUAUGGAAAGUGGAAUUAGUAGGUAAGCUAAAAACCAGACCAGUUCUGGGCUGAAAUGUCUGUUCCUCUCCACACCCCAGCCCUGCUCCAGAGAAAUCAGAGUGUCCCAAAGCCAUUGGCUUGAAAAAAAAACAAACAGAAACCCUUGGAGCUUGAUGAGCAGAAUGGUAUGGGCUCAGUCAGAACUCCCGAGUUGGUUUUGAGCAGUGCCCCAGAAUGAUGCUUUGCUGCGUGUGAAAUGUGGAUCUGAGGCUUUGACCGCUUAUAAUACAGUAACUGGUCCCAUUCUGGCACUUGUCUCGGGAGUGUGUGUUGACCCCAGUGUGCUGGCCAGGUUCCACCGUGGGGAAUUCUGGGAUGGCGCAAUGUAACUAAGCCUGUAAUGUCAGUGAACUCAUUCUUCCCACAGACUGUUGUAUUGCUGAUGGAAAAUAGCUGCUGCGUGUUAGUGCUGCAGGUCAUCUCUGUAUAAAAAUCACACCCGUGAGAGGGUCUUUGGGGUUCAGAUGAUGCAGCAUAAAUGCUGUUGAUCAUUAGAAGUAGGAAUCACGAGACUGCAGCCUUAGUUACGCAUGCACUGAUCUGUGGCAAAGUCCAUAUGAAUAAAUAUAUCAGCUUGUGA